rnacentral:tRNA from 1 species
AGGAAUAUAGCUCAGUGGUACAGUGCCUGCUUGGCAAGCAUGAGGUCAUGAGUUUGAUUCCUUAUACCUA